rnacentral:rRNA from 1 species
GACAGGUGCUGCAUGGCUGUCGUCAGCUCGUGUUGUGAAAUGUUGGGUUAAGUCUCGCAACGAGCGCAACCCCUAUCUUUAGUUGCCAGCAUUAAGUUGGGCACUCUAGAGAGACUGCCCGGGUUAACCGGGAGGAAGGUGGGGAUGACGUCAAGUCCUCAUGGCCCUUAUGCCUAGGGCUACACACGUAAUACAAUGGUGCAUACAGAGGGAAGCAAACGGGUGACCGCUAGCAAAUCUCAAAAAGUGCAUCUCAGUCCGGAUUGGAGUCUGCAACUCGACUCCAUGAAGUUGGAAUCGCUAGUA